UACGUAGGGUGCGAGCGUUGUCCGGAAUUAUUGGGCGUAAAGAGCUCGUAGGCGGUCUGUCGCGUCGAUCGUGAAAACUUGGGGCUUAACCCUGAGCUUGCGGUCGAUACGGGCAUGACUGGAGUUCGGCAGGGGAGACUGGAAUUCCUGGUGUAGCGGUGAAAUGCGCAGAUAUCAGGAGGAACACCGGUGGCGAAGGCGGGUCUCUGGGCCGGUACUGACGCUGAGGAGCGAAAGCGUGGGGAGCGAACAGG
rnacentral:rRNA from 1 species